UACGGAGGAUGCAAGCGUUAUCCGGAUUCAUUGGGUUUAAAGGGUGCGUAGGCGGGCUAUUAAGUCAGUGGUGAAAUCCUGCAGCUUAACUGCAGAACUGCCGUUGAUACUGAUAGUCUUGAGUUUGGUUAAGGUAGGCGGAAUGUGUAAUGUAGCGGUGAAAUGCUUAGAUAUUACACAGAACACCAAUUGCGUAGGCAGCUUACUGAGCCGACACUGACGCUGAGGCACGAAAGCGUGGGGAUCAAACA
rnacentral:rRNA from 1 species